rnacentral:misc_RNA from 1 species
ACCAGAGCAAUUGAAGUUCAUCAAGUUCCAUGGACCAUUGUUGAUCGGCCAAGAUUUUCUUAUCGAGGGCUUUUGAUUGACACUUCCCGUCACUAUCUGCCGUUGCCUGUGAUAUUGAAGGUCAUUGAUUCGAUGGCUUAUGCAAAACUGAAUGUGCUUCACUGGCACAUUGUAGAUACACAAUCAUUCCCACUUGAGAUACCAUCCUUUCCGAAACUGUGGAAUGGUGCUUACUCAAGUUCAGAGAGGUAUACUGUAGCUGAUGCUUCAGAGAUUGUGAGAUAUGCAGGAAGGCGUGGAAUCAAUGUAUUAGCUGAAUUAGACGUUCCAGGACAUGCUAAAUCUUGGGGUAUUGGUUAUCCUUCUUUAUGGCCGUCCAAAAACUGUCAAGAACCACUUGACGUGAGCAGUGAUUUCACUUUCAAAUUAAUAGACGGGAUUCUCUCAGAUUUUAGCAAGAUAUUUAAGUACAAAUUUGUUCAUCUAGGAGGUGAUGAAGUGGAUACAAGUUGCUGGACGUUAACUCCUCGAAUAAGCAAGUGGUUGAAGCAACACCGGUUCAAUGGAACCGGUGCUUAUGAGUACUUUGUCUUGCGAGCACAGAAGAUAGCUUUAUCCCAUGGAUACGAAAUUAUCAACUGGGAAGAGACAUUCAAUAAUUUUGGAAAUAAGUUGAGCCCAAAAACAAUAGUACACAACUGGCUCGGGGGCGGUGUUGCUCAGCAAGUAACUGCUGCUGGAUUGCGGUGCAUUGUUAGCAACCAGGACAAGUGGUAUUUGGACCAUAUUGAUACCACAUGGCAGAAUUUCUAUUCAAAUGAGCCACUAACUAAUAUUACAAAGCCUGAACAACAACGGCUGGUUAUGGGGGGUGAAGUUUGUAUGUGGGGUGAGCAUAUUGAUGGAUCAAACAUCGAAACAACCAUAUGGCCUCGUGCAGCAGCAGCUGCAGAGAGGCUAUGGACCGCUUAUGACAACAUUGCCAAGAAUCCAGAACAAGCUGCUCGUAGGUUGGCGUAUUUCAGAUGCCUAUUGAAUCAAAGAGGAGUGGCUUCUGGUCCAUUAAGCGGAGGCGGUCGAGCUGCCCCAGAUGAACCAGGUUCUUGCUAUGAGCAAUAGUUACCUCAACUGUUCUAUUUGCUCUCAUUCUUUCAUCAAUCCUUCUUAAGAAUAAAUUAAAAUCAUAUAUAUGCAUUAGAAGUUGUCGAUAUCCAUUGUAAGGCAACGCUCUCUGUUGUAA